rnacentral:rRNA from 1 species
AAUCGAACUCGGAGAUAGCUGGUUCUCCCCGAAAUAGCUUUAGGGCUAGCGUUAUUUUAGAUUACCGGAGGUAAAGCACUGAAUGGUCUAGGGGCCGCGAGGUUACCAAAGCCUAUCAAACUCUGAAUGCCGGAUAAUUGAUGAAUAGCAGUCAGACUGUGUGAGAUAAGUCUCAUAGUCAAAAGGGAAACAGCCCAGAUCUACAGCUAAGGUCCCAAAUGAACACUAAGUGGAAAAUGAUGUGAAACUGCGAAGACAACCAGGAUGUUGGCUUAGAAGCAGCCACUCAUUCAAAGAGUGCGUAAUAGCUCACUGGUCGAGUGACGACGCGCCGAAGAUUAACGGGGCUAAAACCUGAUACCGAAGCUUAGGAAUGAUUUUUAAUCAUUGGUAGAGGAGCAAUGUAUGCGCGCAGAAGCCGUAUCGAAAGGGGCGGUGGAGUGCAUACAAGAGAGAAUGCCGGUAUAAGUAGCGAAAGUGAGGUGAGAAUCCUCACCAUCGAAAGUCUAAGGUUUCCUGGGGAAGGUUCGUCCCCCCAGGGUCAGUCGGGGCCUAAGUCGAGGGCGAAAGCCGUAGAUGAUGGACAGUAGGUUGAUAUUCCUGCACCGCCACUGGACGUUUUUACCGAUGCAAUGACACAGAAGGAUAGUUGAUCCCCGCGGAUGGUAAAGUGGGGUCGGCACACGAGGCCGGAGCGUAGUGAAGUACGCGCUCCGUUAAGGCAGAGUGUGAGGUUAAGCGAAAUUAAGUAGUAGUUUCAAUGAAUCCACGCUGGCGAGAAAAGUUGCUAGGGAGAAAAGUGGCGCCCGUACCGCAAACCGACACAGGUAGACGAUGAGAGAAUCAUAAGAUGAUCGGGAGAACUCUUGUUAAGGAACUCGGCAAAAUGACCCCGUAACUUCGGGAGAAGGGGUGCCACAGCGAUGUGGCCGCAGUGAAUAGUCCCAAGCAACUGUUUAUCAAAAACACAGGUCUCUGCUAAAUCGAAAGAUGAAGUAUAGGGGCUGACGCCUGCCCAGUGCUGGAAGGUUAAAGAGAUUAGUUAGUAUGACGUAAGUCGAUAAUACGAAGCUUUGAACUGAAGCCCCAGUGAACGGCGGCCGUAACUAUAACGGUCCUAAGGUAGCGAAAUUCCUUGUCAGGUAAGUUCUGACCCGCACGAAUGGCGUAAUGAUUUGGGAACUGUCUCAACAAGAGACCCGGCGAAAUUGUAGUAUACGUGAAGAUGCGUAUUAACCUGCGACUGGACGGAAAGACCCCGUAGAGCUUUACUGUAGCUUGGUAUUGAAUUUCGGCAAUGAAUGUACAGGAUAGGUGGGAGACUUGGAAGCCUCGGCGUCAGCUGAGGUGGAGUCACCCUUGGGAUACCACCCUUUUAUUGCUGGGGUUCUAACGGUGUGCCGUUAUCCGGGCACCGGACAUUGCCAGGUGGGCAGUUUGACUGGGGCGGUCGCCUCCCAAAAAGUAACGGAGGCGCCCAAAGGUUCCCUCAGAAUGGUUGGAAAUCAUUCGCAGAGCGUAAAGGUAUAAGGGAGCUUGACUGCAAGACUUACAAGUCGAGCAGAUACGAAAGUAGGGCUUAGUGAUCAGGCGAUUCAGUAUGGAAUGGUCGUCGCUUAACGGAUAAAAGUUACCCCGGGGAUAACAGGCUGAUACCACCCAAUAGUUCACAUAGACGGUGGUGUUUGGCACCUCGAUGUCGGCUCGUCACAUCCUGGAGGUGUAGUCGCUUCCAAGGGUUGGGCUGUUCGCCCAUUAAAGUGGCACGCGAGCUGGGUUCAGAACGU